GCAUUAUGUCAUAUUAUUUCACCCACUCUGGGUGUCACUGAUCAGACUUAACAUGUCAUAUCAUAUCAUGUCUGGUUUCCUACCCAGAGUAAACUCUACCCUAGACAGCACACCUCCUUGUAGAACAUAGAACUUUAACCAGACUUCAACUUGUAUUUCCAUUUCUGAUUCCACUUUCCAUUAUUCAAGGCACAAAUUGAUUCUCAAACAUACUACGUGUAUUCUGUAUGACAACAACACAGAGCUUUUGAUGUUUCUGUGAAAAACCUUCCCUAGUACACAUUCAUGUAAGUGUUACAGGUACGAAGAGUGAUCAAUAAGUUGUGAGCCUCACCAAGAAACAAUGUGCACAACUCAAAUUUUGAGGCAUAACUAUAAAGUAUAAACUAAGCCUUUCGUGAAUCUCUACCGACAGCCAAAUCAUUAUUAUUCAUUUGCAUGCGACAGCCACUAACGUUAGGUGGGAUAGAAGAAAAAGAAACAUGGACAAUUGAGCUGUAGCCUGAGGUGUGGGGAUCAAUUUGCUCUCUUGAUCAUCCUGAAACACUUCACACUAUAUGAUUAUGCCCCAAAAUUUGAGUUCUACACUUUAUUUUUGUUGAGGUGUAGAACUUACUGCUCACCCGUACAUUUUUGUUGAGGUGUAGAACUUACUGCUCACCCGUACAUUUUUGUUGAGGUGUAGAACUUACUGCUCACCCGUACAUUUUUGUUGAGGUGUAGAACUUACUGCUCACCCGUACAUUUUUGUUGAGGUGUAGAACUUACUGCUGACCCGUACAUUUUUGUUGAGGUGUAGAACUUACUGCUCACCCGUACAUUUUUGUUGAGGUGUAGAACUUACUGCUCACCCGUACAUUUUUGUUGAGGUGUAGAACUUACUGCUCACCCGUACAUUUUUGUUGAGGUAUAGAACUUACUGCUCACCCGUACAUUUUUGUUGAGGUGUAGAACUUACUGCUCACCCGUACAUUUUUGUUGAGGUAUAGAACUUACUGCUCACCCGUACAUUUUUGUUGAGGUGUAGAACUUACUGCUCAACCGUACAUUUUUAUUGAGGUGUAGAACUUACUGCUCACCCGUACAAAAUUCUACCCCAUUUAAAAACAAAUACCAAAGACAGUUAAUUCCAUUGGAUGUCACAUGUCUGGAGAUUCACAUUAUACAAAGUUAUUGGUCAUUCAAA